rnacentral:misc_RNA from 1 species
AAAACUUAUUAUUAUAUGUUAAAGAAAUUUUUUUUAAAUAAAAGUAAAAUUUAUAAAUUUUUAAUAAUAAAUUAAAAUUAGUGAAUAAAAAUAAAAAUAAUCUUAAAAUUUGUUUGAGGCUUUAGACCAAAACCUCUCUGGAUAAUAACAGACUUGAAAGAUUAAACACAGUCAAAUAUCUCAAAAAAGCAGACAGCUAAAGCUCCACCAUUCUCCUCCAAUGACAACUCUGCUUUUCCAAUUAAUCACUCUCCUAAUUCUACUCCCUCUUCUCCAAUCAUAUCCCCACACCUCAAAACCCACCAAUAUUCGUCUCCCCCUCCAAACUACCACCCUCUCCGUCACCGAUUUUGGUGCCACCGGCGACGGCCUUCACUACGACACCCUCGCCAUCCAAUCCGCCAUCGAUGCCUGUCCCUCCACCUCCUGCCGCGUAUUCUUCCCGCCUGGAACCUACUUGACCGCUACCAUCCACCUCAAGUCCAACAUCAUUCUAGACAUUCCAGAAGGUGCCACUUUAUUAGGCGGCACGAAGAUCGAGGACUAUCCGAAGGAAUUCGAUAGAUGGUAUGUUGUCUUGGCGGAAAACGCGACUGAUGUGGGGAUUACUGGUGGCGGUGUGGUAGAUGGGCAAGGGCUAAAGUUUGUGCAGAGAUUUAAUGAGGUGAAAAAUGUGAUGGUGAGUUGGAAUCAGAGUGGGGCUUGUUUGGGAGAUGAGUGUAGGCCGAGGCUUGUUGGAUUUAUUGGCUGUAGAAAUGUUCGCGUUUGGAAUAUUAGGCUACAAGACCCUGCUUAUUGGUGGUAAGUUCAGCUGGAAACUACUGCAUUUUUCAUUUCCCAUGUUAAUAAAGUUCAGUUCUUUCUCCGUACAUUUUCCUCAAUCAAAAUCUGAUCAUUCCUACUAAAAUUUGAUUACUCAUCUUGGAUUAGAGCUAGGAUGUCUUCUAAUGGACCAUAAAUAACUUUUGGGUUGCAGCAAAAUUCGAAUAAAUGAUUGUUGAACAUCUGAUAUAGGUUGGUGGAUGCGAUCUUGUUCUUGCUGACUUUUUUUUAAAGCUUAUCAAUAUAGGUAUAGCUAGAGCGACACGGCUCCUUAAAACUGGUAGGACCCGCGAAAGGAUAUGGUGGUUCCCACUUAUCGUGGAGGCCAGCUUGUUUGAAGGACAAGUUCAAGUUUCCACGGCCAAGUGCCUGCUUGGAAAGGGACCAUCAUGUCUGGGCCUAUAAGCAUGCUUUGCCAUUUUCUUUCGUUCUUUCAUUCUUUAAUUUUCUUAUUAUUAUAAUGGUGUUUAUUAGUUUGAAAGAGAGUUAUAUUGCUGAGUCUUACAAGGAGAUAUGGGAAUCCCUCUGCCUGUAAUCUCUUCUCUUCUUAAAGUCAAUUUCUUGGGAGGCCAAUGCUACUUGCUUACUUGUGACACUUGCAAUUAAGAACCUUUCUUGCAGAGACUGCCUACCUUAUGGUAGGCUGAGGGGUUAAAGAAAAAGGUUUUAUCCAAAUGGGAUCUUGAGAAGGGAAGUUUGGAACCACUCUUUAUCAAUUUUACUACCAAUAUUAAGUGUUUUUGGUUCCUUUUGCUUCUCUAGUAGAGGAACUAUACAUAGUUCUCUUUUGCUAUAUGCAUAAAUUGUGUGUGGUUGUGUGUGCAUUCAUUGUUGUUGAUCUAUAAAAUAUAGUGUUGGAAACUAUUUGCAAAAAUAAAUAACAUCAAGAAUGAUAUCCAAGAAGCUAUUGUAGUAGAAGAACUGAGAAGAGAGAUGAUAAACUUUGGGACAAACUAAUCUUAAAAUUUUUGAGGAAAAUAAAAGAUGCUUCACGUAUUUCUUGAUGGUAAGAGACAGAAUAUUUUAUCAUUGAGAAGUAGUAGGAAACAAAUGGGUCAAGUGCUUAAAUUAUUGAAAUUGGACAAGUCAUAUAAUAAAUUUUGACUGUUGUAAGGUCAUGAAUGAUGCAGCUUGAAUAUUUUCUAAGGUGGUGUUUGAAAACAAUAAAAAUUAAUUACUAAAAAUUUAAUAGCUAAAUUUUAAGUGUUGGAUAAGAUAAAUGCUGAAAAUUUUAAAUUAAAAAGUUGUUUGGCAUGUGGUGAAAAUAAAGUGAUAAAUCUAAUAAAUUAGUUAUAUAUCUUAUGACUUUUUGUCGAGGUUUUCAAACCCGGUUCGGUUUGAAAACCAGUGAAGGCAAGUGGUUAAAGUUUUAAGGAUUAAUCGAG